rnacentral:misc_RNA from 1 species
GGAAGUUGAAGCUUAAAGGGAAAGCUCUUGAUGUGAAAGUAGGUGGGGUGAAGAAAAAAAAGAAACCUAAAAAGAAUCAAGAUCAAAUAUCUCUAGAGCUGGAAAAUGAGCAUCCGGCAGGUGGAAGUGCUGCCAGUGGUGAAAUGGCAAGUGAUGCGAAUGAGGAAGAAAUAGAUGAAGCCAACAAGUCAACUGAGGAUGGGAAGGUUCCUCACUAUGAUGAUCAUCUAACACCAGCGGAAAAACGUUAUAUUGAACAGAAGGAGAGAAUUGAUGUUCAUAGACUGGCCAAGAAAGCUAAUAAAUCUCAUCGUGACCGGAUCCAAG